rnacentral:rRNA from 1 species
GACGAACGCUGGCGGCGUGCCUAAUACAUGCAAGUAGAACGCUGAAGAGAGGAGCUUGCUCUUCUUGGAUGAGUUGCGAACGGGUGAGUAACGCGUAGGUAACCUGCCUUGUAGCGGGGGAUAACUAUUGGAAACGAUAGCUAAUACCGCAUAACAAUGGAUGACACAUGUCUUUUAUUUGAAAGGGGCUAUUGCUCCACUACAAGAUGGACCUGCGUUGUAUUAGCUAGUAGGUGAGGUAAUGGCUCACCUAGGCGACGAUACAUAGCCGACCUGGGAGGGUGAUACGCCACACUGGGACUGGGACACGGCCCCGGCUCCUUCGGGGGGCAGCAGUAGGGAAUCUUCGGCAAUGGGGGCAACGCUGACCGGGCAACGCCGCGGGAGUGAAGAAGGUUUUCGGGUCGUAAAGCUCUGUUGUAAGUCAAGAACGGGUGUGAGAGUGGAAAGUUCACACUGUGACGGUAGCUUACCAGAAAGGGACGGCUAACUACGUG